rnacentral:piRNA from 1 species
AUGUAGGGACAAAAUGGUGUAAGACUAGA